CACGUAGGGCGCAAGCGUUGUCCGGAAUUAUUGGGCGUAAAGAGCUCGUAGGUGGUUUGUCGCGUUGUUCGUGAAAACUCACAGCUUAACUGUGGGCGUGCGGGCGAUGACGGGCAGACGUGGAGUACUGCAGGGGAGACUGGAAGUUCCUGGUGUAGCGGUGGAAUGCGCAGAGUAUCAGGAGGAACACCGGUGGCGAAGGCGGGCUCACUGGUC
rnacentral:rRNA from 1 species